rnacentral:lncRNA from 1 species
AGCACACUGUUCAUAUAAUUAAUAAUUUGUAUAUGUGCCAUUAAUGGAAGAUUAUAAAGGUUUUAUGGGUUUCUCAAAUGAGGAGUUUCCUUAAUCAGAAUCUGCUGAAAUAAUUUUGGUCAGAACUGCUUCAUUAAUCUGUCAUUGUCAGCAAUAAGAUGAUUUUCUUUAAAAAAAAAAAAAAGUUCAUUGAUGACCAUCCCCAUUAAAGUAUACAUGCAAAUCUCUUUAAUUCUAAGUGCUACGCAAAACGUAGUUCAUAAAAAUAUCUCCAGUAAUUUCCAUCCCGAAAAACUAGUUGAAUUGAUUGGUUUUAAAUGACUGAAGCCAAAUGGUCAGUGGUUGGAUGCAUUGGAUUUGUGGUUGUAAUGAGAUCAUGGAGCUUUACUGGCUGUUUAGAAAGGACAGGAUUAAAACAAUGAAGGACACAAGAAAGCAGAUCUUCAGCUCUUUUCUUCAUGCCAGCACUUAAUAUGUUGAUGGUAGUCUCAUGUCUUCUUAGUCUCUUAUGAAACAGCUAUUUUUUAUCUCUUAAAAUUGUGUUAAUUCACUGAGAAUUUCAUAUAAUAUAUAUUUCGAUUGUAUUCACCUCUCUUCUCCCUCCUACUUGCACUGUAUACUUUUUUUUAAAAAGCUCAUUGAGUCCAUUUGUGCUUUCCACAUUCCUGUCUAUGGGGCCAUCCACUGGAGAGUGUUUAACCUGCCAGGGACCACACUGCAUCUCCUCCAGAAACUAUUCCUUGUCUGUAACUUCUCAACAAUGGUGGGCACUUGUUAACCACUUCUUCUAUGCCAGAAGUGUUGAUUGCCUUGAUCACAAGUGGGUCUUGUUCAGGAAACCAUGGCUGCUGUGAGUACAGGACUGCAAACAGCCCACCGUGUCUAGAAAACUGUUUUGCUUUGGUUUUCCUUAACUUCUGGCUCUUACAGUCUUUCUGUUCCCUGUUCUGUGCUGGUCCCUGAACCUUGUCAGGGAAAGUGUGCUAUAGAUGUUCCAUUUAUGGCUGAACACUCCAGGGAUAUUUACUCUUGCACUUUGACCAGGUGUGAAUUUUUGCAUAAGAUGCCACCCACUCUAUGAAGAAUCUUCUUUGCUGAGGUCCAAGAGCUGCACCAAUUUAUGAGCAGAGAGAUAUAUUUAGAGGGCAGCUUGAUAGCAGUAGGUUCACCAUUGGGGUCUGGGAGCUUCUCAAUUAUGGUUCUUGGGCAGAUGUGUAGUAUCAGACAUGAGUUUCUGGGUACCAGGCCUUAACUCCAACCAGAAAGUGAUGGGUUACCCCAAAACAUUCAUACCACUAUUGUACCCAUGGAAAUAUCUCGCCAUGCAAGUCAUUUUAUAGUUUAUAGGGUUCUCAGCUGGGUAAGACUAUUGAUGGCACUUACCCCCGGUAACCUACAUAGCACAUCCCAGUAUUAUACAAGCUAGCCAGCAUGACAGAACUUUCCUGGGCAGUACCAACUUGUUUUCUGCACGUUCUGUGACCGUUGUACAGUGUCUUCAGCAGUAGGGUCUUACUAUCAAGUCUUGGGGCACAAGAGCAAUGGCAGUAGCCUGUAUCAUUUUGAGAGUGUCCAUUGAAAUCCAUCAACUCAAGAGGAUAGUGUUCAAUCUUUGACUUUCUCCAAUAUGCUAAAUCUAUAUCUUAUGGUUUUAUUCUUUUGUUCACUCAGUGGCUUAGAAAUGUGUUCAUAUGUGGGGCAAUAUGCACAUGCUUUUUCCUGACAUAUUUUUCUAUUAGUGGGCAUUUGCACUCAAGAUUUAUUAUAUACAGCUACAUAAAAUAACCACAUAUAAUGAAAUGAGUUUUUUAAUAAUAUGUGGUAUUUAUCUGUUCAUUGAAAUUGAUUAUGUGCCAGGACAAAUAUUAUUUAUCUCACUAAAGAUAAGGUAUGCCAUAAUUUAAUUAAAGAUAUUUUAUCUAUGUGUUUACCUGCAUGUGUGUGUGUGUGUGUGCAGCUGUCAAGCACUGAUCAUCUCUCUAGUUCCAGUAGACUUUAUUUUUUUAAAGCAUUUUAAUAAGAAGGAUCAGUCAGAGGUUGAGGAUCAGGCCCAAGUGCAUUCUACACAUGAGACAGAUUACUAAGUGUAAGAUUAUUUGGUGGAGGUGAGUACAUUUAAAUUCUGGUGGAUGCUGCUAAACUGCACUCCAAAGACAUCUAUACCACCUUAUUACCAACAUUAAGGUACAGGAUCAGCCUGUGUCCUUGUACUAACAGGUAUAAAUCUUCUCGUCCCCCUCCCCCAUUAUAUUACAUGAUUAUUAGAACUGGACAAUUUUCCAUGUCUGUUGGUUAUUUGUAUUGUUUCUGGGAUUGCCUUCCCAUACUGUUGGCCUUCUAUACUCUUGCAACCAUGUUCUCUUAUUAAAAAAAUGGUUUGUAAGUACAUAUGUAAGUUUCCUAAGUGUAUUCUUUGUUGCAUCUUUUCACAUUUCUGUCUAGUGGCUUGUCCAGCUUUGUUCAUAAUGACUAUUGUCUUAGUUGAUAUUUAAAUUUUGGAGUACACAAUGUUUUACCAUGACCUUUGAGUUUUACUUAAAGAUGUCUAAACACCUUAACAUUUUAUGUGUAUUUUAUUUUAUUCUUUAUAGUAUGUGUAAUUUUCUUUUGAGAUUUUGGAUAUGUAUAGGAACCUGUUUUAUUUUGUCCUUUUAUUUGGGUCUUACAGUAUCUAACAACACUCAUUGUAUAGGUCUUCUACUAAAAGAAAAACUUGCUGUGCUAUGAAUUGUGUCCAUGAACACAUAUGCAUGUAUACAUUUAUAUAGACAUAAUCAAGUUAAGAAACAAACCCAAACUUAGUGAUUUAAAACACCAGUAGAUGACCAUCUUCUACCAUCUUGUCAAAUAGAACUGACUAGCAGAUGUUCCCUGUGGUCUUGGGUGAGGCUCAAGUGUGUGGGACUCAGUGGGCCUGGACCAUUCAUUAUGUCUCAUGCAUAUGACUGGUAUCUGAUGAUGUUUGGCAUCUCAGUUGGUUUAAUGUAUGUAGUCUUUCUGCCUUAGACUUCUCCAAAUGUCUGGGUUCAGAGAAACUGGAUACCAAAAAAAGGAAUGCAAGACCAUCCUUAUGAAUACCAGUCCCGUAACUAGCCAUAUGUCAUGUGCACCACAUUCUAAGGAUUAGGCACACUCAGGGCCAACUAGGUUUAAAAGAAAAUGAGAAAAUUAAAACACCUCUGUAUAAGGAGAGUUCAGAACAAUUAAUUUGUGGCCAUCUUCAGUCCAUCACAAGGAUUAAGGAUGUCUUUUACUAGAAAUUAAAUAUAAAGUUCCUACUAAACAACUCAUUAGAAAAAAAACAAACUCUAGCUAGGGAAUUGCAAAUGUAUUUGAAGAAGUUAAGACCAUUCCUAGAAGCAAACCUCCCUUCCCAUAUCCCUGAUAUAUUGAAGACCAUCAUUAGUAAUGGAUACUUACUUGGAAGUUUGAGCAGCUGUAUUCAAUGAGCUCUUCUUUGAAAUUAUGCUCUCAGCUUACCAAAGGGAAGCAAAGUAAGCAGUCACCAGCCACUGCUUGCUGUGUUUCAGAGUCCUGGUUAUGCCCUUGCCAUGAUCUAUGUAAUUGUAGGAAAUUCCUAUGGCCUGUGAAGAAUUGACAUGAAUAUUUUUUUGCAGUCAGUACUCCAUCUACAGCAUAAUGCAUUUAAAAUGUUAAUAAUUUUCAGGUGAAUUUAAUGAUGAUGUGGAUUAUGGCCUGUAUGAAUUGAUACAUUCACUGCCUUCUUAGUAUUUUUCUACACUAACUGUAUUUUCCACAAGGUUAGGUUUUAUAUAUGCCUGGUUUUUAAAGCUUAUUCUAUUGUCCUUGUAAAUCUGAAGUCUCUUGUAAAGAAAUGAAUUUAUAAACAGUGAAGACACUGUAGUCACUGGUGGAGAUAAAUAUUUAAAUGUAUACUCUAAGGGCUGAAUGCAUGAGUUUGUAGGACAAGAGCCAGUACCAAGGUCAGAUCUCCAAAGUAUCU